rnacentral:rRNA from 1 species
CCUACGGGAGGCAGCAGUGAGGAAUAUUGGUCAAUGGGCGCUAGCCUGAACCAGCCAAGUAGCGUGAAUGAUGACUGCCCUAUGGGUUGUAAACUUCUUCUAUAUGGGAAUAAAGUGCAGUAUGUAUACUGCUUUGCAUGUACCUUUUGAAUAAGGAUCGGCUAACUCCGUGCCAGCAGCCGCGGUAAUACGGAGGAUCCGAGCGUUAUCCGGAUUUAUUGGGUGUAAAGGGAGCGUAGGCGGGUUGUUAAGUCAGUUGUGAAAGUUUGCGGCUCAACCGUAAAAUUGCAGGUGAUACUGGCAGCCUUGAGUGCAGGAGAGGUAAGCGGAAUUCGUGGUGUAGCGGUGAAAUGCUUAGAUAUCACGAAGAACUCCGAUUGCGAAGGCAGCCUGCUGGACUGUAACUGACGCUGAUGCUCGAAAGUGUGGGUAUCAAACAGGAUUAGAUACCCCAGUAGUC